UGUAGAUUGUAGAUGUUUGAAUGGGAUCGAUAUUCACCUUCCUAAAUUGUCUCUAAAGUCUAUAGCUGAUUUGAGAGGCCCAACGAGGCAAGACGAGUCUAUUAGUACUCUGUCUCUUGAUCUAUCUAGUAGGCCUACUAAGCUAGUGCAUUAGCCAUAGUGUAGUCAAAUCUUGACAACUAGUCUUCUAGAUCUGAGCUUCUAGAAUAAUUAGAUCUAGAUCCAGUUUAGAUUUAGAGUAUAAAAGUUUUUACUACCUAAAAUACUAAAUCUACUGAUCUAAAUUCUAGAUAUAUAGAUCCAGUUCAGAUUAGGAUAUAAAAAUAUUCCACUAGCUAAAAUUCUAAAUCUACUGAUCUAUACUUAAUAUGUUAGAUAUUAUAUGACAUCUAUCUACAAAAAUUAUUAUUAAGAUAUACUUAUAGAUUCUAGACUAGUUAUAUAUGUACAUAAAAUAUAUAAAUAAAAGAUAAAAUUUAUGCAGGCCUAGGUCCCAUAAAUUUAUAAUUGAUCCAGAUCUAUCAGUAAAAGUUACCUUCGAUUGGCAGUUUUACCCAAUCUAAUCUAUACAAGACAAUUUAUAAUCCAUGCCUUGCCUACACCCCAUAUAUAUUAGUUUCCAUUCCAUGCCAUACCCAUGAGUUCAUGAAAUAAUAAAUGAUGUGGUGUCAAGUUGGAUCUAUCCCCUGAAAUUCAGUACUUUAAUAUAAAACUCACAUAUCUAGUUAAUUAUUUGCUGACACUCUGAUAAACUUGGACUUGUGUGAUACAUAUAUGUUUCUUAUCAGAUUUAAUUAAUGAAGUUUUGGUGCAUUUUAACCAGUAAUAAGGCUACAAAAGUAGCAUCAGGUGUAUUCUAACCAUUGGUAUUUUUCCUGGCAACAUUUCUAUUCUAGUCUGUGAUAAAUUAUAAAUAAAAAAAAAUGUUUGUAAUGUUUCAGUUAUUAACAAGUAGAACCAUGGCAACCAGUUCUGAUGAUGUACCAGAAUGGCUCAAGGAUCAUACUUAUACUAUUUCUACUCUCUGGGCAUCCAUUCAAUAUUUAAUUUAUGUUUGGAAAUGCAAGAAAAAGGCAUGCAUUCCUGAAAAGUCAAUGAUUGGUUGCACCUCUUAAAGAUAACUUUCUGUUAUGAGAAAAGAUGAGAUUCUUGGACCCCUGCAUAGCACCACCAGAAAGGAAAAUCCCAUCAUGUUGCAAAAUAAAAGUCUUGGACCAAUUUUAAUUUAAGAUAUAUAUAUAUUAUACUGUAAGCUGUAUACAUAUUUAUGUAUAUCCUGUCAUUCAGCCAACAGGUUUGGAUUUAGUAUUUCUUUAAAUCUGUUUCAUAUUGUACUUGAAAACUAUUAAUCUGAGCCCCAUUAAAACAAGAGGGAGUGCAGUGGAUGAGUGGUAAGGGAAAUUUUACUUUUUUAAAAUUAAAAUAAGAAUCUAACAAAAGUAAACAUAUAAAAUAUGGUGCAUUCUCCUUAAAACUAAAACCUGGUGCAAAGGUUUAAAAUGUUGGCAAAAAAAAAAGCAACAUCAAUUAAAUAUUCUUAAUUCCCUUUGCAAAACUUACUGAGAAGAACAUGCAUGUUGUUCCCUCAUAAGUUUCUUGACAGAGGAAAUCUUGUUUAUAUUAGAUUUGAAGUAAGCAAAUUAAGAAAAAAAUUAUAAUCAUUAUUUCAAAUGGUUGUAUCUAAACCUUAUGAAUUAUUUUUCAGUUAUUA